rnacentral:rRNA from 1 species
UACGUAGGUGACAAGCGUUAAUCGGAAUUACUGGGCGUAAAGCGUGCGCAGGCGGCGCGUUAAGACAGGUGUGAAAGCCCCGAGCUUAACUUGGGAAUUGCGCUUGUGACUGGCGUGCUGGAGUGUGGCAGAGGGAGGUGGAAUUCCCGGUGUAGCGGUGAAAUGCGUAGAUAUCGGGAGGAACAUCAGUGGCGAAGGCGGCUGCCUGGCCCAAUACUGACACUCAGGUGCGACAGCGUGGGGAGCAAACAGG